AAGAUAGUUAUGCCUUCUUCUUCGUGGUCGGAGGAAUAAGAUAGUUAUGCCUUCUUCUUCGUGGUCGGAGGAAUAAGAUAGUUAUGCCUUCUUCUUCUUCGUGGUCGGAGGAAUAAACAGUGUAACUUUUACAGAGGUAAGGCUUUAAUCACGCGUCUCUGAUCAGAACUGUCAGGGACAGAAAACACAAAAUCACAAACUUAAUAAUAAUAAAAUUAGAAUAAUAACAUGACAUAAUCAAACACAACCUUUAUUUCUCUCUUCUAGUCAAAACCAUUUCAACGUUGUACAUCUUUCACUCUCUCCGUAAUAAAGGGGCCUUCCUGUUCUCAUACGUGGUGUUAUUGUCUGUAUUGGUGAAUAAUGACAGGUCCAUCAGGUGCUCUCCGUAAUAAAGGGGCCUUCCUGUUCUCAUACGUGGUGUUAUUGUCUGUAUUGGUGAAUAAUGACAGGUCCAUCAGGUGCUCUCCGUAAUAAAGGGGCCUUCCUGUUCUCAUACGUGGUGUUAUUGUCUGUAUUGGUGAAUAAUGACAGGUCCAUCAGGUGCUCUCCGUAAUAAAGGGGCCUUCCUGUUCUCAUACGUGGUGUUAUUGUCUGUAUUGGUGAAUAAUGACAGGUCCAUCAGGUGCUCUCCGUAAUAAAGGGGCCUUCCUGUUCUCAUACGUGGUGUUAUUGUCUGUAUUGGUGAAUAAUGACAGGUCCAUCAGGUGCUCUCCGUAAUAAAGGGGCCUUCCUGUUCUCAUACGUGGUGUUAUUGUCUGUAUUGGUGAAUAAUGACAGGUCCAUCAGGUGCUCUCCGUAAUAAAGGGGCCUUCCUGUUCUCAUACGUGGUUGUCACACCCUGACCAUAGUUUGCUUUGUAUGUUUCUAUGUUUUGUUUGGUCAGGGUGUGAUCUGAGUGGGCAUUCUAUGUUGUGUGUCUAGUUUGUCUGUUUCUAUGUUUGGGCCUGAUAUGGUUCUCAAUCAGAGGCAGGUGUUAGCCGUUGUCUCUGAUUGGGAACCAUAUUUAGGUAGCCUGUUUGGUGUUGGGGUUUGUGGGUGGUUGUUUCCUGUGUUAGUGUUUGUUUCCUGUGUUAGUGUUUGUUUCCUGUGUUAGUGUUUGU
ensembl:lncRNA